GGCAAGAUGGCCGAGUGGUUAUGGCGUGUGACUCAAGCGUUAGCUUCGCUGACUCAGUCAGUGGUUUCUCAUGGGCGUUCGCCCGCGGGGGUUCGAAUCCCCCUCUUGUCA